rnacentral:misc_RNA from 1 species
CAUAACCACAGCGCCGAUUUGACUCACCAGAUUGCGGGCGCUUGAAAAAUGCAGCUAAAGCAGGAGAAGUUCCC